GACGAACGCUGGCGGCGUGCUUAACACAUGCAAGUCGAACGGAAAGGCCCUGCUUUCGUGGGGUGCUCGCGUGGCGAACGGGUGAGUAACACGUGAGUAACCUGCCCUUGACUUUGGGAUAACUUCAGGCAACUGGGGCUAAUACCGGAUAGGAGCUCCUGCUGCAUGGUGGGGGUCGGACAGUUUCGGCGGUUGGGGAUGGACUCGCGGCUUACCAGCUUGUUGGUGGGGUAGUGGCUUACCAAGCCUUUGACGGGUAGCCGGCCUGCGAGGGUGACCGGCCACAUUGGGACUGAGAUACGGCCCAGACUCCUACGGGAGGCAGCAGUGGGGAAUAUUGCACAAUGGGCGGAAGCCUGAUGCAGCAACGCCGCGUGCGGGAUGACGGCCUUCGGGUUGUAAACCGCUUUCGCCUGUGACGAAGCGUGAGUGACGGUAAUGGGUAAAGAAGCACCGGCUAACUACGUG
rnacentral:rRNA from 1 species